UACGUAGGGUGCGAGCGUUGCCCGGAUUUAUUGGGCGUAAAGGGCGCGUAGGCGGCGCGGGUAGUCAUCGGUGAAAGUUCAGGGCUCAACUCUGAAUCGGCCGGUGAUACUCCCGUGCUCGAGCACUGUAGAGGCAGGUGGAAUUCCGGGUGUAGCGGUGGAAUGCGUAGAGAUCCGGAAGAACACCGGUGGCGAAGGCGGCCUGCUGGGCAGUAGCUGACGCUGAUGCGCGACAGCGUGGGGAGCAAACAGG
rnacentral:rRNA from 1 species